UACGGUAGGGUGCAAGCGUUAAUCGGAAUUACUGGGCGUAAAGCGUGCGCAGGCGGUUUUGUAAGUCUGUCGUGAAAUCCCCGGGCUCAACCUGGGAAUUGCGAUGGAGACUGCAAGGCUAGAAUCUGGCAGAGGGGGGUAGAAUUCCACGUGUAGCAGUGAAAUGCGUAGAGAUGUGGAGGAACACCGAUGGCGAAGGCAGCCCCCUGGGUCAAGAUUGACGCUCAUGCACGAAAGCGUGGGGAGCAAACAGG
rnacentral:rRNA from 1 species